GGGUGUGGCUCAGUGGUAGAGUGCUUGCCUAGCACAUGUGAGGCACUGGGUUCGAUCCUCAGCACCACA
rnacentral:tRNA from 1 species